rnacentral:rRNA from 1 species
AUUGAACGCUGGCGGAAUGCUUUACACAUGCAAGUCGAACGGCAGCACGGACUUCGGUCUGGUGGCGAGUGGCGAACGGGUGAGUAAUGUAUCGGAACGUGCCCAGUCGUGGGGGAUAACGUAGUGAAAAUUACGCUAAUACCGCAUACGAUCUAUGGAUGAAAGCGGGGGAUCGCAAGACCUCGCGCGAUCGGAGCGGCCGAUAUCAGAUUAGGUAGUUGGUGGGGUAAAGGCCCACCAAGCCAACGAUCUGUAGCUGGUCUGAGAGGACGACCAGCCACACUGGAACUGAGACACGGUCCAGACUCCUACGGGAGGCAGCAGUGGGGAAUUUUGGACAAUGGGCGAAAGGCUGAUCCAGCCAUUCCGCGUGCAGGAUGAAGGCCCUCGGGUUGUAAACUGCUUUUGUACAGAACGAAAAGGUUUCUACUAAUACUAGGAGCUCAUGACGGUACUGUAAGAAUAAGCACCGGCUAACUACGUGCCAGCCGCCGCCGUAA